ensembl:lncRNA
GGGAAGAAGAGGUCAGUGGCUGGUGAGUAGUUAGUAGUGGUCAGAGGUUGGUGAGUAGUUAGUAUGGAUCAGUGGUUGGUGAGAAGUUAGUAGGGGUCAGUGGUUGGUGAGAAGUUAGUAGUGGUCGGUGGUUGGUGAGCAGUUAGAAGUGGUCAGUGGUCAGUGGUUGGUGAGUAGUUAGUAGGGGUCAGUGGUUGGUGAGUAUUUGGUAGUUAGUAGUGGUCAGUGGUUGGUGAGUAGUUAGUAGGGGUCAGUGGUUGGUGAGUAUUUAGUAGGGGUCAGUGGUUGGUGAGUAGUUAGAAGUGGUCAGAGGUUGGUGAGUAGUUAGUAGUUAGUAGUGGUCAGUGGCUGGUGAGUAGUUAGUAGUUAGUAGUGGUCAGAGGUUGGUGAGUAGUUAGUAGUGGUUGUGGUUGCUAGUUGGUGAGUAGUUAGUAGAGGUCAAUGAUUGGUGAGUAGUUAGUAGGGGUCAGUGGUUGGUUAGUAGUGGUCAGAGGUUGGUGAGUAAUUAGUAGUGGUCAGUGGUUGGUGAGUAGUUAGUGUGGGUCAGUGGUUGGUGAGAAGUUAGUAGGGGUCAGUGGUUGUUGGGAAAGUUAGUAGUGGUCAGUGGUUGGUGAGUAGUUAGUAGGGGUCAGUGGUUGGUGAGUAUUUGGUAGUUACUAGUGGUCAGUGGUUGGUGAGUAGUUAGUAGUGGUCAGUGGUUGGUGAGUAGUUAGUAUGGGUCAGUGGUUGGUGAGUAGUUAGAAGUGGUCAGUGGUCAGUGGUUGGUGAGUAGUUAGUAGUUAGUAGUGGUCAGAGGUUGGUGAGUAGUUAGUAGUGGUCAGAGGUUGGUGAGUAGUUAGUAGGGGUCAGUGGUUGCUGGUUGGUGAGUAGUUAGUAGUGGUCAGUGGUUGCUGGUUGGUGAGUAGUUAGUAGUGGUCAGUGGUUGCUGGUUGGUGAGUAGUUAGUUGUGGUCAGUGGUUGGUGAGUAGUUAGUAGUGGUCAGAGGUUGGUGAGUAGUUAGAAGUGGUCAGUGGUCAGUGGUUGGUGAGUAGUUAGUAGUGGUCAGAGGUUGGUGAGUAGUUAGUAGUGUUCAGUGGUUGCUGGUUGGUGAGUAGUUAGUAGUGGUCAGUGGUUGGUGAGUAGUUAGUAGUGGUCAGAGGUUGGUGAGUAGUUAGUAGUGGUCAGUGAGUAGUUAGUGGUGGUCAGUGGUCAGUGGUUGGUGAGUAGAUAGUAGUGGUCAGUGGUCAUGGUUGGUGAGUCGUUAGUAGUGGUCAGAGGUUGGUGAGUAGUUGGUGAGUAGUUAGUAGUGGUCAGUGGUUGGUGAGUAGUUAGUAGUGUUCAGUGGUUGCUGGUUGGUGAGUAGUUAGUAGGGGUCAGUGGUUGCUGGUUGGUGAGUAGUUAGUAGUGGUCAGUGGUUGGUGAGUAGUUAGUAGUUAGUAGUGGUCAGAGGUUGGUGAGUAGUUAGUAGUGGUCAGAGGUUGGUGAGUAGUUAGUAGGGGUCAGUGGUUGCUGGUUGGUGAGUAGUUAGUAGUGGUCAGUGGUUGCUGGUUGGUGAGUAGUUAGUAGUGGUCAGUGGUUGCUGGUUGGUGAGUAGUUAGUAGUGGUUGCUGGUUGGUGAAUAGUUAUUUGGGGUCAGUGGUUGCUGGUUGGUGAGUAGAUAGUUUGGGUCAAUGUUUGCUGGUUGGUGAGUAGUUAGUAGUGGUCAGUGGUUGCUGGUUGGUGAGUAGUUAGUAGUGGUCAGUGGUUGGUGAGUAGUUAGUAGUGGUCAGUGUUUGCUGGUUGGUGAGUAGUUAGUAGUGGUCAGUGGUUGCUGGUUGGUGAGUAAUUAUAAGUGGUCUGUGGUUGAUGAGUAGUGAGUAGUGGUUAGUAAGUGGACACACAACGUAACUCCUUUGUGAUAGUAGAGCUACCCAGGGCUGUGA